UUCUUGGUCAUUUAGAGGAAGUAAAAGUCGUAACAAGGUUUCCGUAGGUGAACCUGCGGAAGGAUCAUUAAAGAAAUUUAAUAAUUUUGAAAAUGGAUUUUUUUGUUUUGGCAAGAGCAUGAGAGCUUUUACUGGGCAAGAAGACAAGAGAUGGAGAGUCCAGCCGGGCCUGCGCUUAAGUGCGCGGUCUUGCUAGGCUUGUAAGUUUCUUUCUUGCUAUUCCAAACGGUGAGAGAUUUCUGUGCUUUUGUUAUAGGACAAUUAAAACCGUUUCAAUACAACACACUGUGGAGUUUUCAUAUCUUUGCAACUUUUUCUUUGGGCAUUCGAGCAAUCGGGGCCCAGAGGUAACAAACACAAACAAUUUUAUCUAUUCAUUAAAUUUUUGUCAAAAACAAGAAUUUUCGUAACUGGAAAUUUUAAAAUAUUAAAAACUUUCAACAACGGAUCUCUUGGUUCUCGCAUCGAUGAAGAACGCAGCGAAAUGCGAUACGUAAUGUGAAUUGCAGAAUUCCGUGAAUCAUCGAAUCUUUGAACGCACAUUGCGCCCCUUGGUAUUCCAGGGGGCAUGCCUGUUUGAGCGUCAUUUCCUUCUCAAACAUUCUGUUUGGUAGUGAGUGAUACUCUUUGGAGUUAACUUGAAAUUGCUGGCCUUUUCAUUGGAUGUUUUUUUUCCAAAGAGAGGUUUCUCUGCGUGCUUGAGGUAUAAUGCAAGUACGGUCGUUUUAGGUUUUACCAACUGCGGCUAAUCUUUUUUUAUACUGAGCGUAUUGGAACGUUAUCGAUAAGAAGAGAGCGUCUAGGCGAACAAUGUUCUUAAAGUUUGACCUCAAAUCAGGUAGGAGUACCCGCUGAACUUAAGCAUAUCAAUAAGCGGAGGAA
rnacentral:rRNA from 1 species